AUGGUUACUUAAAUUUACACUAGAACUCGAGUAAGAAAUAUCUCACAUGAUAUCACUUAUGAUAUCACUUAAUCAGGAUACCGCUGCUAUGUGGAUGGUUUAUGGAAAGAAAGUGACAAGUUUUCUAGAACAUGAUGGUAUUGUAGAUCAUCAAAUGGAGAGCCACCAACCAUGGGAGCUGUGAAUCUAAGGAGUUUGUCUCCAAUACACGUAGAUGUGGAAGUCCUUUUUGAGCUAUAAAGUGCAUGAUUGACGUCGACAACCAAGAUGUAGUUUUCUUAACAAACUGUUCAACCGAAUGACCGGCAUUUUCAGCAUAUUUGGAGGAAUUACAGAACGACAAGGGAGAGUUCACUAGCUUUUCUUUAUCUUUAAUCUCUCGUAAUUCAAAUGUAAAAGUGGACAAUUUGGCAUGAAAAGUCUAUACCGAAAAACAUCAUAUCAUGUAUGUAAACAACAUUCGUUAGAUAUAAUUGUUUUGAGCUUUAUCUAAUUAAUAUGGGA
rnacentral:sRNA from 1 species